rnacentral:sRNA from 1 species
CGAUAUGCCAAAAAUAAAUUUUUAUAGUUUUUAUCAAUGGAUUAGUUCCUCUUUAAAAUUUCUUUGUAAAAUUAGCUAUUGGUUUGAAUAGGGUUUUUAACUACAAAUAUAAUAGCUGAACUACCUUCCUUGCCAUCAAAAAAUUUGCGCGUAAAUAACUUUGCCAAGUUAAACGAAGGCAAAUUAAUUAUGCAAGUCUUGGCAAAAAAAAUGUCGGCUAUAACUGCUUACACUUGGCUAGUCGUCCCGGUUGAAAUACUACGUGUCCUUUUGUUCGACUACAUUUCUUCCUUUUUUCUUGGCCGUCGCACAAAAGGAUAAUUUAAUAUUCACGUCGCCUAACCUGGGUAAAUUGUUGAAUCAUGAAAUAAAUAAGAAGGCAGGAAUGUGAAAAAGUUGCCUGGCAUAAAUAAAUGUAAGUGCAAUGCUUGCGGGCUUCUUUGCAAACCGGCUUUUAUUGUUCAAGUUAUUGCAACUGAAUUAAUAUCAGCCACACAACUCCAUUGUUGUUAUAUUUUUAAUGUGCCUCUGUCUGCAGUUGAAUGGCACGCAUGCACCUUCAGUCCAUGUGAAUAUGGGGAAAAUAAAAGCAAACAAAAAGCAAACUACCCACAAUAACACUUAAUUAUUGAAAUGCAAAUGCAAGGACGGUUAAGAGCGGAGUCGGACUCAGAAGUCCGCCAACUUUUCAUGGGGAGUCAACUUAUCAUAAGGAGAGGUGCCACAACAAUAUGAAUGGCUGGGCUGCCAAAGAAAACCCGACCAUUGCGGCCAUUGCUAUAAUUUAAGUUCAAAUUGCUCAGGACUUUGAAGGCAAAAAGUAUUAAUGGUUAAGGACCUCUCAAAUGUACACAUGCACGCUCAUUGUUGCAAGAUGAAUUGCUAUAAUUUUCAUAAAAUGUUCAAUAGUAUACUUAUAGACUUACAGUGAAUCCAUGGAAAUCCUGAUGUCCGAGGAACUUAAUGUGCUGUACGCAAAUGUCAAAUACUAAGCUGUCAUCGUCGGCGGUCGUAUUCCGCACACGUGCGUGUACCUUUGCUGCCAGGUUAAUGUCCUCAAACGGACAUGUCCACCCAGGUCCCUAGGGUAGCCAAACCAGUUAGCCAGCUGCCUCACAUUCUUUUUUUUUUAAUUGAGAGAGAUAGGAGACGGCCGGAGGAGCACCAGAUUGGAAUAUGGGGAUAAUUACACUUCCGAAUCUGCAGCAUCCUGCCUACAACUGCAUCCUGCAAUUGUCGGCCGAAGGUGUUGACAUGAAAUUAAAAUUAAUUGAGAAUUCCGUGCACAUAGCAACGCAAUCGUGUCGUCCAGCAACUUAAAGUCGGAAGUCAGCAAGUCGAAAAAGCCAUUAACUGAUGGCCAACGUACUCCAUGGAUAAAGAGAUUCAACAUCAACUAGGACAACUCUUCAAUGAACUUCGACCCUAAGCAGCACUGUUGGACAAUAUACAUUUUUAGGGCUACAAAACAUAAAAUAAUUACUUUGCGAUAUCGAUUUCUAUAGGCAAAGAAAUAGAUAAGCUCAUGCUCAUUAACCUGCCAAAUCAAAUUUUAAACUUCCCAGCUCAAAAGGCCCACUUGACCAAUCUACAAAGGAAAGCUUUCAAAGAUCCCUUUCAUUGCUCCCCGGGCCACAUCCAAGCCGGCUAAUUUCCGAAGACUGGAUGCUGUGUGCUUGGCCUUGUGCUUAUGCAAACCGAAAUCGGCUUGCCAAGCAUUACAAUCAAUUAUGCAUUGGCUUAAAUCAUCGCAUAUGUGAUUUACAUGCACACACACACCCAAGGCAGUCCUAGCCCGAGAACGAACACAUCCACAUCCUCAUCCACCCAAUCGGAGACAUUGCGAAUCAACGGAAGGCAUCGGGGCCACUGGGUCCUGAAUUUUGUCCCCGGCUGGUAUACAGACCCCUCUUCAUCCUUUGGCCAACGCGCUACGUAUGCAACUCAAGUGAAUUAAAUUGGUUUCCAGCUGGUCUGUGCUAUUAGUUGUAAUUGAUUCUUGAAAUAAUUUAUUUUAUGGCUUUUUGUCGCCAACCGCCUCCGGCUGACGAUUGCCUUCACUUAACGAUCCUUGGAGUGGAGUUGAAAGUUCGGCAAAUUGCACAUAAUCGGGAUUUCCUGUCAAUUUCAAUGGCUUAAAUUAAUUUGAAUGGAUUUAGCGCGCUGGCUCUGAUUUUCUUAUUGGAGGAUUGGAGAUAACGAAAUACUUAGAAUAAAAUUAUCAAAAAUAUAAUUGUUUAAUAUUUAUCUAAGUGUUACUAAUAAUUCAAGUAAACAGGACAACAAAAGUAGUUGCCACAAGUAAGCUUUAAAAAUAAGAUGUAUUGCGUGCGUUUUUUAGUGUGUUCUAUAGAAAUUUUUUUGACACAUAUUCGAAUAUUUCGAAUUUUACUAGACUGCUAAACAACACUGAACUAUUGUUGAUUGGUUAUGUUAUUUAAGAUAAUGGCUCUAUUAAGUUAUCUUACGAUUUCCCUAUUACACAGCUCAGUAUCUAUUCUGCUGAGUGUAUUUACGGGUUGGACCCUGAUGGCUGCUGCAUUAUGUAUUCGCCACUCUACAGUCAUUUGCACCAUUCCAAAUUCUUGGCGCUGGCAUUAUUAAAAAUUCGCCUCCUGCAUAAGCGACUGCUUUUCAGUGGCAAAUGGUCGACGUCGAACCCUGACUGCUUCCAUUCUGUUGCUAUUCCUGCUCAUUGCUAAUUCCACGAAAUCGAACCAUCAUAAAAGCUUGAUGCUCCCUUUUCUCUCUCUCUGUUGGCAUAUUUUUAAGUUUUUCAAGCCGCUCCAAAGCCACUUUCUUGCCGUUUUGGCGGUUUCUACCACUAUAUCGCUACAUAGCAGCUGCAUCGUUAGACGACAACGAGGCUGGCAAUGUGGGUGCGACCGAGGCUAAGGGUGGAAGUGCCAAUGAUGGGUCCUGUGU